UUGAAAGGGAAACGAUUGAAGUCAGUCGUACCGACGAGAAAUCAACUUAUCGUGUGCGAACUUGUGGGCGUGCGUGAGUUUCGGCCUCGCUGUUUGCAUGUUUGUGCGUUUUGGGUGUACUUUUUCGUAUGGUAGGCCAACGUCAGUUUCGAUUAUCAUAAAAUGACCGGCGGAAUGUAGCUUCGAUUUCGGUUGAAGUGUUAUAGCCUCUGGUAGAUGUGGUGUUUGAGACUGAGGAUUGCAACGAAUACCCUUUGGGCUAUCCGUCUGGCCUCUGAAAGUUGCUCAGGUGCCGAAAGCGUGCUUACGGUCAUCUAAGAUAACGUUCAACAGGUUAGAACGUGAUUACAUUCGUUAAGGAUGUUG
rnacentral:rRNA from 1 species